GACGAACGCUGGCGGCGUGCCUAAUACAUGCAAGUAGAACGCUGAAGCUUGGUGCUUGCACCGAGCGGAUGAGUUGCGAACGGGUGAGUAACGCGUAGGUAACCUGCCUGGUAGCGGGGGAUAACUAUUGGAAACGAUAGCUAAUACCGCAUAAGAGUAGAUGUUGCAUGAAAUUUGCUUAAAAGGUGCAAUUGCAUCACUACCAGAUGGACCUGCGUUGUAUUAGCUAGUUGGUGAGGUAACGGCUCACCAAGGCAACGAUACAUAGCCGACCUGAGAGGGUGAUCGGGCACACUGGGACUUAGACACGGCUCAGACUCCUAAGGGGGGCAGCAGUAGGGAAUCUUCGGCAAUGGACGGAAGUCUGACCGCGCAACGCCGCGUGAGUGAAGAAGGUGUUCGGAUCGUAAAGCUCUGUUGUAAGAGAAGAACGAGUGUGAGAGUGGAAAGUUCACACUGUGACGGUAUCUUACCAGAAAGGGACGGCUAACUACGUG
rnacentral:rRNA from 1 species